UGGGGAAUAUUGCACAAUGGGCGCAAGCCUGAUGCAGCAACGCCGCGUGGAGGAAGACGGUUUUCGGAUUGUAAACUCCUGUUCUUAGUGAAGAAAAAUGACGGUAGCUAAGGAGCAAGCCACGGCUAACUACGUGCCAGCAGCCGCGGUAAUACGUAGGUGGCAAGCGUUGUCCGGAAUUACUGGGUGUAAAGGGAGCGCAGGCGGGGGAGCAAGUCUGAAGUGAAAGGACGGGGCUUAACCCUGUGACUGCUUUGGAAACUGUGUAGCUUGAGUGCCGGAGGGGUAAGCGGAAUUCCUAGUGUAGCGGUGAAAUGCGUAGAUAUUAGGAGGAACACCAGUGGCGAAGGCGGCUUACUGGACGGUAACUGACGUUGAGGCUCGAAAGCGUGGGGGGCAAACAGGAUUAGAUACCCUGGUAGU
rnacentral:rRNA from 1 species